AAAAAAAGUAAAAACAAAAGAAAGAAAACAAAUCAAAUUUAUUUGAGUGAUAUAAUUUUCUAUUUGUCAAAAGAUUGAUAGAUGAACUUGGAGUUGUAUAACUUUCUUUGUUACAAAUCUAUUGAUAGAUAAUUAUUAAUAAUCUUCAAUACUUUUCAUCAAUGAUAAGUUAUCCCUUGAUGCGUCAUAUUUUGAGCCUUUUGACCUGUGGAUAGAUAAUCCUCAAAAUAUCCACUUUGCACAUAUCACUAACCACUAACUAUAUU
rnacentral:lncRNA from 1 species